CGCCUUUGGGGGCGGGAGCAGAGAGACAAGGAAAUGCUGUCACCGCGGUUAACACGCACGUGGAGGUUGGUUAAAGGGAAGACCUGGGUUUUAGUCCUGUCUCCAUCAACCUCAAGAAAUGGGACCUCAUGGAAGGGAGGGGAGGCAAUGCCGAGGAUGUGCUCCUGAGCAGGUGCCACAAUUCUUCACCUGUAAGGCUGAUCUAAGAAGAUUCCUAAUUAUCAAUUGAGAGCAGAGAUAUUCCACUUCCAAUUACAUGGCCUGCCUGCUCACUCUUACUUCCUAUUCACACUCUCUUGGAGACCACUUUGUGAUUCUACCAAAUUCUAUAGGAGAGGUGACAACCCCAAAGAGAAGGCUCUAGAAAGAUGACAUUUGGAAAUGUGUACGCUAGUGUCUGCUGGCUCCUCCUGAGCCAUUUUUACUCUGUGAAUGAGAUCAAAGGCCACCUAACUGCCUAAAUCACCACAAAGGGACAAACUGGUAUCUCAGAGCACUCAGCAACAAAAACAAGAAAGCUAAGCCUCUGCACUGCAAUGUGGCAGGGCUUCUGGCUAAGUAUAGCAAGCAAUUCUGAUGUGGAGACAAACAGCAGCAAUGGGAAUGAUAUGCCAAUGAAGGAUUCCAACAGUUGGGUCUGCAAGUGUGCUUGUCCUGUGACACAAACGGCCUAGACAUCUCAGCACUGCUUGGAGCUGCUCAUUGGGGGAGCCUAAGAAACAUCAGCCCUUUCACAACCUCUUGCUCCUGAGCAGAGCUCAUCUCCCAAGAGCACAUCAGCCCGCAGCCCAGUCUGAUGAGAAGCACAGUAUUCCCCUGUGCCAGUGGCAGCCUCAGAGCAUCCUGAAAGAGCGCUUCCUAGACACGCAGUGGAAGCCAUGACUUCCCCUAAGCUGCCGGUGCUGCCUCUGAACUCAUGUGGAGGUUCUUUUUUCAGUGUCCCGAUUGCUGACAGAAAAGUGAGACCUCCUCCACCCCAAGGUCUCCUAAGAGAAUGCUGCUAGCCAAAAAAAGAUCUGCUGAUAAUUGAGGAAGAGCAUCUUUAAAAAGACACUCAACUACAUUUCAGAAACAUAAAGAUCUAAGUGUUGGCUCUACAAGGGAAGAAAUAAAGAGAAAGAACUUUUUUUCCUCCUACAACAGGUCUAGACAACGUCAUACAAGGAGUUGCACGCAUAUCCAAAACAAAAGCAAGGCAAAAACAAGCAAAAAAGCAACAAAUGCAUUCCAAAAUGAUGUCCAUUUAUCAGCCCAGAAAUGUACUGGAUACUGGUUUAGUUCAGCCUGUAGGUGCUGGGAAGAAAUUCCGACAAAUCCAAGUCAGUUGCAAAAAGGGAAAACUCCAGACAUAUCACCCAAUGAACUUGUAAGAAAGCAUAUGAGCUUCCCUGAACAGAUUUUACUCCAGGUUUGCAGCCCGCAAGAUUUAAGAUGGGGCCAUGAGGUUAAAUCUUGUAAACUCAGAAGUGUUCACGCUACUGCAUCCCUAAACUCUGUAACUCUCUACAUACUCUUUAAAGCAGUGUUUCUCUGCAUCUUUCAUUCCAUAGCCAUUGUCCACCUGAUCCAAAAUAUCCUAAGUUUUUCAGUGUUUGGAAGCAGGGUUUCCAAUUUUUGUGUAUACAGAAAAGGGGGGUGUGUGUGAAAAAAUAAGUAUUAGAAAAAAAACAUGUUAUACAUAUCUAUCACAGAAAUGAGUGGGCAAGGUUUAGAAGAUGGCUGAAACCAAGCCAAUACUAAGGUCUACUGGUUGGCUGCAACAAGUUUAAAAUGUCUUCAUAAGGGCC
rnacentral:lncRNA from 10 species